UGCAAAAGCAAACAUCUGUCAUGGUAUGGAGGUGCAUCAGUGCAAACGGCAUGGGUGACUCGCAUAUGUGUGAAGUAGUCAUUGAUGUGGAGGUGUAUAUUGGGAUUGUACAGAGACAUAUACUACCAUGAAGAUGACAAUUUUUCGUCGGAAGCAAGACAAUGCCAGGGCUCAUUCUGCACAUGCUAAAACAGAGUGGUUUCUUAGACACUCUACACUGUAGAAGGGAAGUGCUCGACUGGCCUAGCUGCAGUCCAGAUCUGUCUUAUUGAAAAUGUAUGGCCCAUCAUGAAAAGGAGAAUCAGACAACAGCGACCACAGACUGUUGAGCAGCUGUUUUGUAUCGGGCGAGAUUGGGCAAAAAUUUCAUUUGCAGAACUUUAACAAUUAGUAUCCUCAAUUCCCAAACAUUUAAAAAGUGUAAUUAAAAGAAAAGGUGAUGUAACACAUUGGUAAACAUGCCUCUGUCCCAAAUUUUUUGGAGUGUGUUGCAGCCAUCAAAAUCAAAAUGUGUUUAUAUUUACAAAAUACACUUAAGUUGGUCAGUGAAGUUGAUCUUUUCUUUGUACUUUUGUCAGUCAAAUAAAGGUUCAAGAGAAUUAACAAAUCAUAGAUUCUUGAUUUUAUUGCGUUUUACAAAAUGUCCCAACUUUUCUUGAUUUUGGGUUGUAAAAAAAAAAAAACUCUUUUUAUAUGCUAAUUAAGACUAUUAUCUGCUCAGUGGCUGUGAUAAAAUAAUGCAUUCAAAGCAUGUGAUGUGCGUGUUUGUGUCAUUGGGACUUUAGCUGUCAGCUUUACUGUGUUCGUCCGCUCUGUCCUGCUGAUGUCCUCACUCGACAUGACACACACACACACACACACACACACACACACAGACAGUCGUCUCUGAGUGUAUGGCUGACCUGUCAUGCCCGCGGGCUCUAAACUGUCAACGCAGAAUAACAUCAGAGCGAGAGCGUGAGUGAGAGAGUAAAGGGACGAGUGAGCAAACAGGAAGUGAAAGGAAAGCAGAGGAACAAACACGCAGCCAGAGUCAGUUAGUCUCCCGUGAACUGUGAGACGGUUUCUGACUUUCUCAAACACACUCCAGCCGCGCUGUCUGUCUGCAGGGCAAACAUGAGACGGAUAAUCUGACAGCAGAUAACCACCAGCCUGCCCGCAACACUCAUUUACGUAAACUACAGAGAGACAGAGGAUCCGCUCUGACGGACAACAAAGUUGAGUACAGUUAUUCCUCCAGCGUGAGGAAGAUCCAUUUAGAUCCGCUCUGAUGGACAACAAAAAAAAACUCCCUGAAACUUCCUAACUCUUCCAUCCAGAUAGUGGUAUUCUCUGUUUUUACUGUUAUUUUUAUUUCUUAUGCGUUCCAUUUUUAUUCUUAUGUAUUUGGUUCUUCUUUAUGUAAAGCAUUUUGAAUUACCAUUGUGUAUGAAAUGUGCUAUACAAAUAAAAUUGCCUUGCCUUG